CCUGAGCCAAGCCAGCACGGAGAGAGGAGGUGGCCAGGAAGUCCCGCCCCAGCGGAGGAUGAGUUUGGCAACUGCUGGCUGCUGGCAGACAAGAACCCAUUUUAACACUGCUGCUAAUGGUCUACUGUGAGUUAGGCAAACUCUUGAUGGGAGGCUACCUCUCCACCAACACCAGGGGUACGUGGGAGCACACCCAGAGUCUAUGGAAGCUGGAUCUGUGAUAGGCAGGUGGCGGUUCCAGGAGCAAGCGACCGUGCAGGCGCUAUCAGAAGCUGAGCUUUUUGCAUUGACACUGUCAUGUGGGAAUGUUGGAAGAAACUGGCCGUCUGCAACUUGGAAGAGACUCGACCAUGCAGGCAUCACGACCGCAAACUCCCGGCAUCCAGAACCCUGGUUCACAAGCUAGCUUGUCCCUGAUACUUGGUCAUAGUAGCUGAGUCAGACCCGGUCUCAGUGUUUCCCCUCUAUCUCUUUCUCUCUCUCCAUCUGGCCAGCCUGACAAUCCCUAGACUCUACCUUCAGGAUAAAUCCUUAGUCAAGUCUUCCCUCUUAGCCCUGCCCUAGAGCUCCAAUAAAGAUCCUGGCCCACGACAAUAGCAUCUUUUGUCUUAAACUCAAAACAACCAAUUUUGUCAUGGUUUAGGUACACGACAUUUUUUAUCCCCAGAAGAAACAUACAUAAGGAAAGUUACAAGACAUUUCUCAUCCCCAGUAGAAACAUAUAUAAAGAAAGUUAUACUCAGAAAAAAAAAAUAUAAAUAA